rnacentral:rRNA from 1 species
AAGUAUUGCACAAUGGGGGAAACCCGUACGAUGCAGCCAUGCCGCGUGUGUGAAGAAGGCCUUCGGGGUUGUAAAGCACUUUCAGUAGGGAGGAAGGUAGUGUAGUUAACACCUGCAUUAUUUGACGUUACCUACAGAAGAAGCACCGGCUAACUCCGUGCCAGCAGCCGCGGUAAUACGGAGGGUGCGAGCGUUAAUCGGAAUUACUGGGCGUAAAGCGCAUGCAGGCGGCCUGUUAAGUCAGAUGUGAAAGCCCGGGGCUUAACCUCGGAAUUGCAUUUGAAACUGGCAGGCUAGAGUCUUGUAGAGGGGGGUAGGAAUUUCAGGUGUAGCGGUGAAAUGCGUAGAGAUCUGAAGGAAUACCAGUGGCGAAGGCGGCCCCCUGGACAAAGACUGACGCUCAGAUGCGAAAGCGUGGGGAGCAAACAGGAUUAGAUACCCUGGUAG